rnacentral:rRNA from 1 species
GAUGAACGCUGGCGGCGUGCCUAAUACAUGCAAGUCGAGCGAACAGACGAGGAGCUUGCUCCUCUGACGUUAGCGGCGGACGGGUGAGUAACACGUGGAUAACCUACCUAUAAGACUGGGAUAACUUCGGGAAACCGGAGCUAAUACCGGAAAUUUAUUGAACCCGCUGGGUUAAUUGUUAAAGACGGUUUUUGCGUUACCUUAUCAUGGAAUCCGCGCCGCAUUAGCUAGUUGGUAAGGUAACGGCUUACCAAGGCAACGAUGCGUAGCCGACCUGAGAGGGUGAUCGGCCACACUGGAACUGAGACACGGUCCAGACUCCUACGGGAGGCAGCAGUAGGGAAUCUUCCGCAAUGGGCGAAAGCUUGACGGAGCAACGCCGCGUGAGUGAUGAAGGUCUUCGGAUCGUAAAACUCUGUUAUUAGGGAAGAACAAAUGUGUAAGUAACUAUGCACGUCUUGACGGUACCUAAUCAGAAAGCCACGGCUAACUACGUG